CUCACUGGAAUGGGCAAAGAGAUACCAUGUUGGUGUUGUUCUUAUAUUAGUCAUGUGUAGAACAGAUGGUGGUCUUUUGUUCAUCCUAGCUUGAUUCCUGAUUUGGUAGCCAAAGCUGUCUUAGGCCUAGGACUCAUAA